UUGUAAAGGUGGCUGAAGUAUAGGUGGUGGAUUGUAAUUCCAUUUAUGGGGUUUGAGUCCCUUCUUUACA
rnacentral:tRNA from 1 species